rnacentral:rRNA from 1 species
UACGUAGGGUGCAAGCGUUGUCCGGAAUUAUUGGGCGCAAAGAGCUCGUAGGCGGCUAGUCGCGUCGGCUGUGAAAACCUGGGGCUCAACCCCGGGCCUGCAGCCGAUACGGGCUAGCUAGAAUUCGGUAGGGGAGACUGGAAUUCCUGGUGUAGCGGUGAAAUGCGCAGAUAUCAGGAGGAACACCGGUGGCGAAGGCGGGUCUCUGGGCCGAUAUUGACGCUGAGGAGCGAAAGCGUGGGGAGCGAACAGG